UACGGAAGGCAGCAGUGGGGAAUAUUGCACAAUGGGCGAAAGCCUGAUGCAGCUAUGCCGCGUGUAUGAAGAAGGCCUUUAGGGUUGUAAAGUACUUUCAUCGGGGAGGAAAAAACAAAACUAAUAAUUUUAUUUCUUGACGUUACCCGAAAAAGAAGCACCGGCUAACUCCGUGCCAGCAGCCGCGGUAAUACGGAGGGUGCUAGCGUUAAUCAGAAUUACUGGGCGUAAAGAGCACGUAGGUGGUUUUUUUAAGUCAGAUGUGAAAUCCCUGGGCUUAACCUAGGAACUGCAUUUUGAAACUGAAAUACUAGAGUAUCGUAGAGGGAGGUAGAAUUCUAGGUGUAGCGGUGAAAUGCGUAGAUAUCUGGAGGAAUACCUGUGGCGAAAGCGGCCUCCUAAACGAAUACUGACACUGAGGGUGCGAAAGCGUGGGGAGCAAACAGGGAUUAGAUACC
rnacentral:rRNA from 1 species